rnacentral:ncRNA from 1 species
UAAGUAUAAAGCUAAACUUAUCGUGAGGUAAGGACGGAAAGUUACGAAUCUUACAGCUGUAAGAUGGUCGAAUUGCAACU